rnacentral:rRNA from 1 species
UCGAGAAUUUUUCUCAAUGGGCGAAAGCCUGAAGGAGCGACGCCGCGUGGGGGAUGAAGGGCUUCGGCUCGUAAACCCCUGUCAUUUGCGAACAAACCUUACCGGUUAACAACCGGUAAGCUGAUUGUAGCGAAAGAGGAAGGGACGGCUAACUCUGUGCCAGCAGCCGCGGUAAUACAGAGGUCCCAAGCGUUGUUCGGAUUCACUGGGCGUAAAGGGUGCGUAGGUGGCGAGAUAAGUCUGACGUGAAAUCUCCGGGCUUAACCCGGAAAUGGCGUUGGAAACUGCCUUGCUCGAGGAUUGGAGGGGGGACUGGAAUACUUGGUGUAGCAGUGAAAUGCGUAGAUAUCAAGUGGAACACCAGUGGCGAAGGCGAGUCCCUGGACAACUCCUGACACUGAGGCACGAAAGCUAGGGGAGCAAACGGGAUUAGAUACCCCGGUAGUCC